AACGAACGCUGGCGGCAUGCCUAACACAUGCAAGUCGAACGAGACCUUCGGGUCUAGUGGCGCACGGGUGCGUAACGCGUGGGAACCUGCCCUUAGGUUCGGAAUAACUCCCCGAAAGGGGUGCUAAUACCGGAUAAUGUCUUCGGACCAAAGAUUUAUCGCCUUUGGAUGGGCCCGCGUUGGAUUAGCUAGUUGGUAGGGUAAAAGCCUACCAAGGCGACGAUCCAUAGCUGGUCUGAGAGGAUGAUCAGCCACACUGGGACUGAGACACGGCCCAGACUCCUACGGGAGGCAGCAGUGGGGAAUAUUGGAAAAUGGGCGAAAGCCUGAUCCAGCAAUGCCGCGUGAGUGAUGAAGUCCUUAGGGUUGUAAAGCUCUUUUACCCGGGAUGAUAAUGACAGUACCGGGAGAAUAAGCUCCGGCUAACUCCGUG
rnacentral:rRNA from 1 species